UUAAAUGUGCCCAUCUCUGAACUCCUUCAGAGCACAUUUAUCAAACUUGUAUUUUUCUUAAGAUUCUCUUUGUGACUAUUGAAACGCGGAGACUGAGCUGAAAAGAAAAGCUUGUAUGUGAAAAACUCCCACUUCAGCUGCAUUUUUCCUGUAUUCGGAAAAGACAGAAAGUCAAAAUAUUGGAGAUUCAGAUGGUGAUUGUGUAUUGGUUUGAAAGAUUUCAUGAAUCAAGAGAUAACUUUGUUAAUCAAUGAGAGCUUGUUUUGUUGCUCAGGUUGGCCUUGAACUCAUAGCCUCACCUCCUCAAGCGCCAGGACAACUGGCCAGAGCCACCGCAGCUCCCAAGAGAUAACUUUGUACUGGCCAACUGGAUGGACCCAACUGAAUGAACCCAACUGUGACAAUGUUCUGAUUUAUUAUACUCCUGUCCUGCAGUUAGUUAACAAGCUGAGUUAAAUGGAGGCAGCAUCUGAAAAAGAACACAGAAAGCCGGCUGCCUCAACAUUCAAAUGAGAGUGCAAAUUCCUACUAUAAGAGGUGUGGUUAUAUACUUACUCAAGUGUUCACAUUUCAAGAAGGAAUACAGAAUUCCUAAAGAUGCCCAGGUAUCACCGAGGAGCAGUGAGAGUCUGUGACAAGAUAUCUGUAAAGGUUUGAGGUUUUAUUUUUGUAGAGUCCAAACACAUCUUUAACCUUACAAGUGCUUGGGAUGGAACGAGCAGGUAAAGUGAUUUAGAUCUGUGUAUGAGUGCGGGUGUGCAUGCACAUGUGUGUGUGUGUGGGUGUGUGACUGCCGUGCUCCAAAUGAGGCCUCGAGGGUAAUAAAAAGAGGGCCUGCUGGGACCACCAAUUUCUUUUUCCCAUCUGUGAUGGCUGGGGCCCUGUGCUUCACACUGGGAAGGGUAUUGCUGAACUCUCCUCAGUCUUGUGGUGUGGCCGCCUUUAAUUCAUAUUUGCAUGUGUUGUGAGACCAGCCAGGCAGCUGAACACUGCCCAGGAGUGGAGCUUGUGAUGAUGUAGAGAAAUGAAAUCAGUGUUUAAUGAGAAUUGGUGAGAUAAGGUCCACAGAUGGACCAUUCGGAGGGCUGUGUUUGAACAAUGGUAUCCCAUUAAUUUUAUAAUACACCUUACUGUGGGCUUAAAUUGCAUUCUUGGAAAAUUUAGCCCAGCAUGACCAGUUCUUCUUAGAAUAGCAUCACUCACGUAAUGUUGUGUUCAAUAAGCCUGUUGCAUAAAAGGUUAUGAUGUAAUUUUUAUCAUUAUAAGUCUCCAGUGCUUCUAGAACUUACCUUCAAACUAGUGAAAAUGAUAUUUCAUAUAUCCACAAUUGUAUUUCAAAGUAAGUUCUAAAAAGCCACGUGCCUCAGUUUAUCCUUUGGAAUUUGCCUAUCUUUUCUUUAAAGAGUUAUUUUUAUAAAUCAAUAUUCUAAAAGAAUAUACCAGCAUAUUUUCCUAUAGCUUUCAGUCUUUGAUUAAUGUUUUAAUGGUGUUUUUCCCUAUUUUAAUCCAUGUAGUAUAUUGAACUAAGCCUGGGGCUUAGAGUAAGAUGAACUAGGGUCUGAAUCCCAACUCUUCCCAAUUACUGGCUGUGAUCAUGGUUAAAUCACAUAAUGAUUCUGAGCAAUCAUUUUAUAUAUAUAUAUAUAUAUAUAUAUAUGUGUGUGUAUGUGAA
ensembl:lncRNA